GCAAAUUGAGGUAGUAGGUUGUAUAGUAGUAUUCUAUUUGAAUUAUCAAAAGAUCAUUUCACUUACUAUACAACAUGCUAGCUUUCUUUGC
rnacentral:pre_miRNA from 1 species